AUGGAGCACCUGCUGGACGAGCGGAGGUUGAGGGGUGGAGCCAACUCCGUUGCACGGCAGCCGGUCGGCGCAGCCACGUGGUUGAGGGAGAGGACAGCGCCUGAGGUGGAGAAGGAGGAGGCGUGCGCCUCGCCAAAUACGGCCGCGGUGGCUGCCGCAUCCGCUCUCGCCGGAGUUGGAGAAGGCGGAGGCGUCCGCCGCCCUACGCCGGAGAUGGAGAAGACGGAGGCGACCGCCGCCCUCCGCCGGAGAUGGAGAAGGGGUGGAGACAAGGGGCGAGCGGACAGGGUACGAAUGGAUUAA
rnacentral:rRNA from 1 species